rnacentral:lncRNA from 1 species
CCUGGAUGCCGUGGCAAGCUUUGGGUGUUUUCUAAGCACAGAGGGACAUUCCUACUAGAGCUGCACAAGUCUCAGCCCAAGCAGGAGUGUCCCCUGGCUGUUAGAAAGCCAGAGCUUUGGGAGAGCAUGGCCUCUGAGUGUCAAGGCCCAUGGGGAUGUGACUCUACCAGGCUUCAAGCAGAACCCCAGGAGAGGAUGGAGGCAGAAAGGCUAUCUGCCUGGGAAAGUGAUGGCCUCUUCAUUCCCUCACCAAAGUCCCAUUUUUUAAAAAAGUUAAAAAUUGAUGGACAAAAUAUUGAACAUGCAGACUUGGCAGCAGAGGGAUAAACACAGGUGCACUUUGUCACAGUGACAGAGUCAAUGGGCAUUCAUUUCUAACACGGCAAGCAUCAUUUGAAUGAAGACAGCAGCCAUCAGUUAAAUAAAUAGUUAUGCUGUCCUAAGCUUGAGUGCUAGCUAGGCUCAGAGCACGGACUUGGGGCUCACUGACUGGCAUCUGUCAGCUUCUGAACUUGGUCCUGGUGUGGUUCCCUCAGAGCCCAGGGAGGUCGGGCAGGGGGUCUGUUCCAGGAGUGAGCAGGGAAUUCCCUCUGAUCCACUGACUUCAGAGCUGGUCAUGGAAGUUUUGAAAUGCAAUCCCUUUUUUUUAAGUAUAAAAUAAUAUAUGCUCAUGAGAGUGCAAAACCAAAUGAACCAUGACUGAAGGACAUAAGAAUAGGAAGAAAAAGCCUCCUACCUCCUUCAUCCCAACAUUGCAUUUUCCAGAAGUUUCCCAUACAUACACACACGGUAUGUCCAUCUUACAUUCCAGCAACUACAGUGGAUCCUCCUGUGUGUGCUGGUUUGCACUGGAUCCCACUCUAGGUGAAAGAUAAGAUGGACAUUCCUUUUCUCUGGUGGAUCCACUGGGACCUCUCUCCAUGUUACCUUCCACGGGGUGGAGGAGGUCCUGUCUGUCUUGGUCCCUGGUGCAGUUCCGUUUUGGUCCAGGAAAUAUUUCCAUUGAGUGGAGGGGCACAGCUCAGCCCCUGCCAACCUGCUGUGGAGUUGGAGCCUCCUCACUUGAGGCUGGGGGUGUGGGCGGCCAUAAACUCAUUGCCGUAAGCAGUUCUGCUACGGCAGAACCUUGUAUCUUAGACACGUGCACUAGUGCGUUGGGAGGGUAAAUUCCUAGAAGGCCAUUGUGAAGUCAAGGGUGCACGCGCUUUUAAUUUUGAUGGAUGUUGUCAGAUUGCUGCACGUCUGAGGAGGCAGCAGAUCAUUGACUCUUGGUGCAGUUUCAGUUCUUUUUUCUUGGAGCUUCCUGUGUUCUUCCUGUCCAAUCUUCUCAAGCCCAGAGGCACAUUGCUGGUGAAGAUUGAGGCCUCUGGAGCUGGCCUGAGGGGCUGUGAACCCAGCUUCUGUCCUUGCUGACUCUUCCCAGGCCUCUGUGUCCUCGUCUGAAGAAUGGGUGAAUGACAGUACUGACUUCAAGGGCGGAUCUGAGGCCUCAUGAACUCACCUCCCAGCCACCAGCAUCCCCAGAUCUCUGAGAUGAAAGCGGAGAUGGGCGAGCUCACUCACAAGCAGGGCCGCGCUGGUGUCAGCACCUUGGGCAGCCUCAGUCCUUCCUCUUGGAUCCGGCACUGGCAGGGCACCAGUGCGAAGAGGGCUGCCUGUUCAACUCCCACUGAAGCUACAGGUGAGUCCAGGCCUCGGUGCAAUGCAUGCUCUUGUGAUGGCCCCGGAGCCAAGCAAUUUUAUCAUCGUCUUGUAACUCAUCCACUACAUCUGACCUUUGGAUUCACAGAAUAAUUAAUGGGGCACUUUGGGUGGCGCUUGAAGUGUCAAGUUUUUAAUUAAUGUGCCGGACUGAAUAUACUUAGCUGGACCAUUCUGCCCAGUCCAUCCAAUUACCCAGACUCAUUAUGCAACUCGAUUGCGUUUUCCAUUACUCAGUGGCUUUGCUAAAUGGGAAUCUAUGCUGCAGACAGACAGCCCAGCGCUGAUAUUGAUUAGAGAGCACAGUUUAUUACCCAGUGGAGGCAAUGCUUGGGGUUGUAAAUCUCUUGCUGGACACAGCUUUUCUGCAGCCUCCAGGUGGGAGACGGAAUUGUAUUUGGAUGAAGCAUUUCAGCCAUCGACCCUCCUUCCAAACUUCCUCUGUGUCCUGCCCUUUGUUUAAUGGAAUUGCCUUUCCCUCGCCAACUCCCCCCUGUAAAUACACUCAGGGACUCCUCGUGCUUUAAUAGCUAACAUGGAUGCAUGGUAUUUUUCACCUUUCCCCGAGCUCCAGAAUGACACAAAGCAUUGAGCUUGCCAGGGAGCAUUAUAGCAGGAUCAGCCACAGGGGAGGAUGCUGAGCCUUCUUUGUUCUCGCUGGAUUUAGGAUGGAUCUUGUGCCAGACCCACCUUGUCUUGCUCUGCAGUGGCCUCCAGCCCUUGGUGAGAGAGGGAGGCAGCAGUCAGUUGGCGGUCGAAACUUGUGUUUAAGGUUGUGAUUAUAAUUCCAAGUGGAGAAACACUCCUCUCCCCACUGUAUCAAGGGUACUGUUUCAUACUCGAUAACCUCCUUCCACUCCUAUUGCCCCUUCAGCAUUGCUUCAAUGUGUUUUCCUAAUCUGUGGCACAGGCUGCAGCAGGGAAAAGAAAGAGAAAGAGUACAGGCUGGCGUGAUGGUUGGGCCGUGUCCCUCCACUGUGUCAAAGCUGAUGAACACCUAUUCCAUGCCGGGCACCGCACAUUUGCCA